AGCGGGCGUGGUUGAUCUGGUGGCGCGGUUCGCCGUGCCAGGGCAAGAAGAACUUGGGCCGCACCAGGUUCAGCACCUCGGCCAGCUC
rnacentral:tRNA from 1 species